GCGGCGUGCUUAACACAUGCAAGUCGAACGGAAAGGCCCUGCUUUUGUGGGGUGCUCGAGUGGCGAACGGGUGAGUAACACGUGAGUAACCUGCCCUUGACUUUGGGAUAACUUCAGGAAACUGGGGCUAAUACCGGAUAGGAGCUCCUGCUGCAUGGUGGGGGUUGGAAAGUUUCGGCGGUUGGGGAUGGACUCGCGGCUUAUCAGCUUGUUGGUGGGGUAGUGGCUUACCAAGGCUUUGACGGGUAGCCGGCCUGAGAGGGUGACCGGCCACAUUGGGACUGAGAUACGGCCCAGACUCCUACGGGAGGCAGCAGUGGGGAAUAUUGCACAAUGGGCGGAAGCCUGAUGCAGCAACGCCGCGUGCGGGAUGACGGCCUUCGGGUUGUAAACCGCUUUCGCCUGUGACGAAGCGUGAGUGACGGUAAUGGGUAAAGAAGCACCGGCUAACUACGUGCCAGCAGCCGCGGUGAUACGUAGGGUGCGAGCGUUGUCCGGAUUUAUUGGGCGUAAAGGGCUCGUAGGUGGUUGAUCGCGUCGGAAGUGUAAUCUUGGGGCUUAACCCUGAGCGUGCUUUCGAUACGGGUUGACUUGAGGAAGGUAGGGGAGAAUGGAAUUCCUGGUGGAGCGGUGGAAUGCGCAGAUAUCAGGAGGAACACCAGUGGCGAAGGCGGUUCUCUGGGCCUUUCCUGACGCUGAGGAGCGAAAGCGUGGGGAGCGAACAGGCUUAGAUACCCUGGUAGUCCACGCUGUAAACGGUGGGUACUAGGUGUGGGGUCCAUUCCACGGGUUCCGUGCCGUAGCUAACGCUUUAAGUACCCCGCCUGGGGAGUACGGCCGCAAGGCUAAAACUCAAAGGAAUUGACGGGGCCCCGCACAAGCGGCGGAGCAUGCGGAUUAAUUCGAUGUAACGCGUAGAACCUUACCUGGGUUUGACAUGGAUCGGGAGUGCUCAGAGAUGGGUGUGCCUCUUUUGGGGUCGGUUCACAGGUGGUGCAUGGCUGUCGUCAGCUCGUGUCGUGAGAUGUUGGGUUAAGUCCCGCAACGAGCGCAACCCUUGUUCACUGUUACCAGCACGUUAUGGUGGGGACUCAGUGGAGACCGCCGGGGUCAACUCGGAGGAAGGUGGGGAUGACGUCAAGUCAUCAUGCCCCUUAUGUCCAGGGCUUCACGCAUGCUACAAUGGCUGGUACAGAGAGUGGCGAGCCUGUGAGGGUGAGCGAAUCUCGGAAAGCCGGUCUCAGUUCGGAUUGGGGUCUGCAACUCGACCUCAUGAAGUCGGAGUCGCUAGUAAUCGCAGAUCAGCAACGCUGCGGUGAAUACGUUCCCGGGGCUUGUACACACCGCCCGUCAAGUCAUGAAAGUUGGUAACACCCGAAGCCGGUGGCCUAACCGUUGUGGGGGAGCCGUCGAAGGUGGGACUGGUGAUUAGGACUAAGUCGU
rnacentral:rRNA from 1 species